rnacentral:rRNA from 1 species
UACGGAGGGUGCGAGCGUUGUCCGGAAUCAUUGGGCGUAAAGGGCGCGUAGGUGGCCCGGUCAGUUCGUGGUGAAAGCGCGGGGCUCAACCCUGCGUCGGCCAUGAAUACUGCCGCGGCUGGAGCACUGUAGAGGCAGGCGGAAUUCCGGGUGUAGCGGUGGAAUGCGUAGAGAUCCGGAAGAACACCGGUGGCGAAGGCGGCCUGGCUGGGCCAGUUGCUGGACACUGAGGCGCGACAGCGUGGGGAGCAAACAGGG